rnacentral:misc_RNA from 1 species
UUAUGAUAGAGCAAAAAAUUUUGAAGAACGAAAAGUUCUGUAGUUUUGAAGUUUUUUCGGCGCUAAACAUCACGGAAGAAACUUGCGAGCAAACAAACAUGACGGGCCAGCUGCGACAUACAGAAGUUGAUUCCCCAAAAUGUGACUAUCACCUAACAGAAGACAGCUCUCCUCACCAUAUGAUCAGCUAUCAGUAACAAGGAUGGAGUUCAAAAUAUUAUUUGCAGGCUUGGAAUCAUGCUGUCCCUUAUUUUAUUCCAUCACUUGGCAUGGGAGGAACCAAUUACUUAUGGAAAACCAAUCCUCAUUAAAGUAUUUUCUUAAAUUUCCCAACAUCACGCUACUUCAUCUCACUGCGAGAGGAUUGAAUAAACAAGAUGUGAUGCACGUUUUGAAAAGUGCUCUGGAUGUUGGAAAAACAAACAUUUUCGCUCUUCGGGGAGAAACCGAGAUGCUGGAUGAGGAAUUAGCUGCAGUUGAUUUUCCUUAUGCUGUUGAUCUUGUGAAGUUCAUACGAUCCCAAUUUGGCUCCAAGUUCUCAAUUUGUGUGGCAGGAUACCCACAACAACACCCAGAUUCAUCUUCAAAGGAAUCAGAUCUUAGCUAUCUAAAGGCCAAAGUAGACGCUGGAGCAGAUUUUAUCAUAAGUCAGAUAAUAUUUGAAUCAGAAUCCUUUAUCGAGUUUGUUAAAAACUGCAGACGGAUAGGAAUUCGAGUACCCAUAAUUCCUGGCAUAAUACUAUUGUCAAGCUACGAUUCAUUGCUUAACAUGUCAAAGCGUUGUAAAGCCGAUAUCCCUCAGAAGAUAUUGCAAGACCUAGAACUCAUGAAAGAAGACGACGCUGCUAUCCAAGAAUAUGGAAUCAACUUAUCAGUGAAACUCGUCGAAGAAAUCUUCAAAAGUGGAACAUCUAUUGGAAUUCAUAUAUUUACAUUAAAUAGAUUCCACCUGGCUCUGGAAUUUUGUAAACGUGUUGGCUUAUGUGAAGCAAAAACAAAUUCAAACGUACGAUUCAACACCGCAUUGAAGUGAGGAGCGUAACCUGUCGAGAAUUUUUGAUGAAAAGUGAACCUUUUCAUUAUCACUGAAAGAUAUGUCUUUGCUGAAAGAUACCGGAUGUGUCGUGAUGGCGAAUAACGAGUGACGCGCCGCACAUUACGUAGACGCAACCGAUAGACGCAAGGUUUCGCGGAUGCGCAC